UGAUAGCAAAGAAGCGUGAGGUUGCUGCCGGAUAUGGCAGGUUUUCCGUGGAGCGAAUGUCAAGUUAGGAAACUGACGACA
rnacentral:ncRNA from 1 species